AUUGAACGCUGGCGGCAGGCCUAACACAUGCAAGUAGAACGCAGUUGCGAACGGGUGAGUAACGCGUAGGUAACUGCCUCAUAGCGGGGGAUAACUAUUGGAAACGAUAGCUAAUACCGCAUACUGUGAGAUGGACCUGCGUUGUAUUAGGUAGUUGGUGAGGUAAAGGCUCGUCAAGGCGACGAUACAUAGCCUUCCUGAGAGGGUGAUCGGCCACAAUGGGGCUGAAAAACCGCCCAAGAUCCUUCGGGAGGCAGCAAUAGGGAAUCUACGGCAAUGGACGGAAGACUGACCGGACAACUCCGCGUGAGUGAAGAAGGUUUUCGGAUCAUAUAGCUCUGUGGUGAGGGAAGCGGUAACUAACCAGAAAGGGACGGCUAACUACGUGCCAGCAGCCGCGGUAAUUC
rnacentral:rRNA from 1 species